ensembl:lncRNA
CAUUGCAUAAUUCACAUACUGUAUUUCUACCUAUUUAUUUCCAGAUUUUUCCAUUGGUCUUAGUGGAUAAUUCCAAAUAUACUUUUCUGUUUUGUUUUUCUUUGACUUCUGUAAUAUCUUCAAUUGUCAUUUCAUCCCUGUAGUGGACUUUUGUGACAAGAUGCAAUGUAAUGUAGCGCUACCACUUUACAGUAUGUACAGGCUAUUUAGUAGAGCCACCAGCUAGAACACAGCACAUAGCACAAUAGCACAGUAGCCUAAAGCCACACAUUCUUAUGCAAUAUUCUUGCAUCAUUUGAAGUGUUAACAAGAUCAUAUUCACCUGAAUUAUUAACCUCUCAAUGCACUACAAAUGCAAUACAACAGCGGGAUAUGUUAGUUUUUCCAAUUCUUGUCACAUUUGCAAUGUAAAUAUGAAUCAGCCACAAAAAUUUACCAGUAUAGCAAAAUACACACUUAUUGCUUCUCAAAAUUUCACAAACUGAAAGAAUAACUUUUUCUUAACUCGCAGACUGGCAGAAUAACUUUUCUUUAACUCACAGACUGACCAAAUAAGUUUAAUUUAACUCACAGACAGACAGAAUAAGUUUACUUUAAGGUGUGUUUCAUUUGUAGCUGCUAGUGUGUCCUUCAAAUACCCCCUGGCCAAUCGAAGCUCCUUCUUUCGAGAUAGUUUUCUAUAUAUGCCUCAGACAAAGGGUUAAGGAAAUGUUGACUGAAAGUUGAGAAAUGCUAAAAACAUGAACAAUUUUGGUCAGAUUCUGCACAUCCAUGCUGGCAAGAUUUGAUUUCUGUGUAUCAGGGAUGGACUAGAUGGAUGAUGUCAAAUAAUAUGGGAGCUGACCGAAGUAGCAAUGCAUUGAUUUGUAGGAAAAUAUUAUUGUUAUGAAGCAUAUAUAAUAACACUGGAUGGACCAUGUGGUUGGAUUACAUGUAAACAAUAAAACAGAGAAGGACAAAACUAGAGAAGGUAAGGAACACCUCAAUAUUUAGAUAAUUUUACUGUCAUAAGCAGUUCAGUCUGUUUAAGGUUACAGCUAUUGAUCCAGUGAGCGAUUUGAAAAGCUCUGUUGUUAUUGGGGUUUGGUUUUGGAUUUUUAUCUAUGUAUAUAUUGUUAAAUAGUUGCUCAUGGUUGGAUGUGAGUUUUUUUUAAUGUGUGAAACAAAUGGCAAAACUGUUGGCCAUCACUGAUGAAUGUCAGGGUUCCUGCUCUGCAGACCCUUCAUUGUUCAUGGGAUUAAAAACUGGAGGGAA